GACGAACGCUGGCGGCGUGCUUAACACAUGCAAGUCGAACGAUGAAGCCGGAGCUUGCUCCGGUGGAUUAGUGGCGAACGGGUGAGUAACACGUGAGCAAUCUGCCCUUGACUCUGGGAUAACUGCGGGAAACUGUAGCUAAUACCGGAUACGACACCUUGGGGCAUCCCAGGGUGUGGAAAGAAUUUCGGUCAAGGAUGAGCUCGCGGCCUAUCAGCUAGUUGGUGAGGUAAUGGCUCACCAAGGCGACGACGGGUAGCCGGCCUGAGAGGGUGACCGGCCACACUGGAACUGAGACACGGUCCAGACUCCUACGGGAGGCAGCAGUGGGGAUUAUUGCACAAUGGGCGAAAGCCUGAUGCAGCAACGCCGCGUGAGGGAUGAAGGCCUUCGGGUUGUAAACCUCUUUUAGCAGGGAAGAAGCGAAAGUGACGGUACCUGCAGAAAAAGCACCGUCUAACUACGUGCCAGCAGCCGCCGUAA
rnacentral:rRNA from 1 species